GGUACAACUAAUAUACCAGCGUCAUUCUUAACUUUGUAGCUUGAAAUCGCCACAUAGGUGUCAGCAUCGUGCGCAACUGGAUGCAGCACUGAGUGCAUCUGUCUCGCGAAAUGCCACGGCCCAAAAGUGGCAGCGCGUGUCUCCUGUCGCUCGUGACGACGAUUCGGCGUGCGUGAGUCGUGUGUACGAUCUGUGUUCUCCUCAGACUUCUUUUUCUCUCCCCUGAACCGGCGGUUCUUCGCUGAGACUCGCGUUUCUCUGUGUACGUGGUGGACGGGUCCGCGUGUGUGUCCGCAUGAGAGCUCGUGAUUCGCAUCGUUUCAAACGUUCACGUCGAUCGAGGCGGUGACGGCGACGAGUGCAGUAGCGUUCGGGUGCGGCGUUUACGUUCCUCUACAUUUUUCGACGGAGGACGGAAAAACAGUGGGUCUCGAGGGACAGGCGAAUCCCCUCGGGUCGACCAGACAGCAAAAGGAGAGGGGAGAAAGGAACAAACAGAGACAUUGCGGGUAGACGUUAGGAAAAAAAGGUUACAAGCGACAGGGACACGCAACGUAUACGCGAACCGCGCGAGAAAGAGAUACUCGAUCGUUGAUAGUGUGCCUAAGCCUGUGCACGCGUUCUCAGCCGCGAGUUUACAUCGCGCCGGGUCGAACGGUGAUAUUUUUCGCCGCCAUAUUUGUACCGCCGUCACAUGCAACCUGUUGUUUUCGCUGCGUCCUCGUGUCGUCGCUGAGAUCGCCUGCCGGAUAUACACUUUGGCGAACCGUGUGCGCGUAAACGUCGAACGCGGGAGUUCACUUAACCUAACAUCAGCCCCGGGGAGAACCGUCAACGUGGCCGUCUACCAUCAGGAUGAACGGGUCUACCGAUUUCUUGAGAAUGCCUGCAGUAAGUGAAAUUCACGUCUAAGUAGUAUAAAACAGGUAUGAAGUCAUUUGGCAUGGUCCGGAAGAAGAGGAGGAAGAAAAAGAAGAAGAAGAAGAAAAAGAAGAAGAGAAAUCAGUGCUUCGAAGUAGAAGAGCACGAGAGUUUCAGAGAAAAU
rnacentral:misc_RNA from 1 species